rnacentral:lncRNA from 1 species
GUAGCUUUCAAAGUCAAAGACCUAGCAGAUCAUAAGAGUCAGAAUUCACAUCUGGGUGUGGAUGACUCCAAAGCUCAUUCUGUUUUCCACUACUCUAUGCCACCUCUCCAUUUAGCCAGGGAUGUUUAUCAGUCAGGGUCUUAUCGGGAGACAGAAACCAGACCCCUUAUUUUAAGCUGCUCACUAGGUAACUGAAAGAGUAUAAAGAGAGCUCUUAAGGUGUCAAGAAGAUAACAACUGCAGGAAGCAGCUACUACCCCUAAGGCUGAGGAAGUAAAAAGGGAGAAGCUGCAAUGAUGAAAACUUAGAAUGUAGAGGGUGGGCCCUAUGGAGCUGGAGCUUGGGCCUCUGAAGAGUGGAUGCCGCUUGCUAGUGCUGAUGUCUCUGAGCUCAAAGGAGUCUGAGGCUCAGACUCUGAGAAGCCUGGUGUCCACAUUUUGGAGGGCAGUGCAACCAAGCUGGUUCUGAAGUGUUUGGGAGAACUGUCACCUGGAUUCUUCCACUGCAAUGGGAAGGAACUGCCACUGCCAGAGUGAAGAAGCGGUGUUGGGUGACACUCACAGGACUAGGACGCGGACAGGAAAGAGAGGAUAAGGUGAGAUUCCUUCACAAAUGGUGGCUCCAACUGGAAUUCAUUGUCCCAAAUUCUGAGAACUCCUGAGGAAAGAUCCAAAAGUAAUAUGGCUCAAGAUUUUUGAACUGCCCAGGCUCUACUCAGGCUCUUGGACAUCUUGCCCAUCUCAAAGGUCUCUCCUGCCUACUGCCGGCCCUACCCACAAGAUGUGAACUUCAGAGCCUUCUUGCAACUGCUUCUUGGCUAUUUUCACCCUCUAACCCUCUGGAAGAAGAAUGAGGACUAUUAUGAAGGCAAAAGCAUAAAAGGGGAAAAGAUUAGCCUCCAGAGUAGGAAGAUUGGGUUGUUGGAAGCCAGCACAAGUCUUCCCCUGAAAGAGUUAAUUCGCCUCCAAUGGGGGUAGGGACUGACCUGGGAGGGGCCUCAGCCUACAUAGGACAGGCCUAAAGGCCCCAUUGGGGCUGAAGGUGACACUGGGUCAGAUCCCUAGGAUUCUGCAACUUGAGGUGGGAGUGUCUAUAAGCUGGAAACAAAAGUUUCAAAAAAAAAAAAAAAGCUCAUUUUGUUUUCAAUUCGUUUUAUCUUGGCUCUAUCUCAGGCACCACUGACUUCAGACCUUUCAAAGCUAAGGGUGGGGUAGGGUGGGGCUUAGUGAUUUUUUUUCUUAAAGAGAGAGAACAGGGAAUGUGCCUUGAACAUGCACAAUUUGCUUGAACAUGAUCAUAGUCAUUAAUAAAAACAUUGAGCAAUAUUUGCUUCUAUGUCUUUGGAACUGGCAUUUGCAAAGGUAGCAUUGACAGAUCAGAGAACAGAAAGGAAUUCUGCGGUUACUCGUGGAGGAAUUUGGACCUGUGAGAUAUUCAUGAUGUUAAUUAUUUAUAAUUUCAGUUGUUUUAGGCCAGGCUUUGAGCUUCAAGAUAAUGUGCUCAGAAUUGGCAACAAAAAUGGUCAUUUUUUUGCUAGUAAUUACUGGCUUUGAGCUUCAGCUAUUUUAGAAGGACACAGAGAGAUCUUUAGAUCAUGUAUUCCUGACUUAAGCAAGGAAGGAAAGAAGGAAGGAAGGAAGGAAGGAAGCAAGGAAGGAAGGAAAGAAGGGAGGGAGGGAGGGAGAGAAAGGAAGGGAGGGAGGGGAGGAGGAGGAAUAGGAAGAAGAAAAGAAAGGAAAGAAGGAAGGAAG